UACUGUGCGGUGCUGAUCUACAAAGCUACAGCUACACGUAAUUAGCUACAUAUAACUGACUCAUUCGUACAGUCACUCAAGGAGUAUAUAAGAGCCUGAUUUCAGCACUGAAGGCAAGUCAACCCUGGAAGACGCCGCCUCGAGCAUUUCAGAGGAAAGAUGAAGACAGCCGUUGUAGCUAUCACUCUGGUCGCUGUCGCCGUCGUGAUUCAGCCGUCGACAUGCGUUCGGGCUUUUGGCAAAAAAUUUGAACCUCAUUGUAAAGGAAAUCAAACUAUAAAAAGAAAUGUGGGAUCCUGUGAUGAGUGCCGCUGCGACUCUCUCGACGAGCCUGAUGGAUGGCCAAGCAUUUGCACGAUGGAUCUUGUUGUAGUGGGAUGUUUUUGCGACGACGAUCAUUGCAGGACAACUGACAGACGAAGAUGUGUGUCUAGGUCUGACUGCUACUAGAAAGCACAACAGACACCUAGUGCUCUCAUUGGGAGUCUCGCCUAAUAAAAUAUUUGAUGAAAAGUCA